rnacentral:rRNA from 1 species
CCUUGUGAUUAGGCAUACGGGGAACCACCUGACCCCAUUCCGAACUCAGAAGUUAAGCCCGUAUGCGUCGAUGAUACUCGCUAAAGGCGGGGAAAGUAGACGUUCGCAAGGG